rnacentral:sRNA from 1 species
UUGUGGGUUCGAUUUCGACAACGCGUU